GUGCUUGCUUCGGCCGCACGUGUACUAAAAUGGGAACAAUACAGAGCAGAUUAGCAUGGCCCCUCCCACACAUGGCACGCAAAUUUGUGAAGUAUUACAUAUUGAA